UAGGAGAUUGGUGUAAUGGCAGCACAUGAGACUCUGGCUCUCAUGGCAGGGGUUCGAGCCCUCUCUCCUACA
rnacentral:tRNA from 1 species